rnacentral:lncRNA from 1 species
GAUUCAACCCUUUUCUCGUACUCGCCGGGACAGUUUUUCGAUACUCGCACGGAUUCUAUCUUUUCCCGGUACUCACCCGGAUUCUACCAUUUUUCGGUACUCACACUAAUUUGACCUUUUUCCGGUAUUAGUCGGGACACUUUUUCGGUACUCACACUGAUUCGACCAUUUUCUCGUACUCGUCGGGACACUUUUUCGACACUGGCACGGAUUCUACUAUUUCUCGGUACUCGCCCGGAUUCUUCCAUUUUUCGGUACUCACACUCAUUCAACCCUUUUCUCGUACUCGCCCGGACAAUUUUUCGAUACUCGCACGGAUUCUACCUUUUCCCGGUACUCACCCGGAUUCUAUCAUUUUUCGGUACUCACACUAAUUUGACCUUUUUCCGGUAUUAGUCGGGACACUUUUUCGGUACUCACACUGAUUCGACCAUUUUCCGGAACUCGUCCGUACAGUUUUUCGAUACUUGCACGGAUUCUACUAUUUCCCGGUACUCGCCCGGAUUCUUCCAUUUUUCGUUACUCACACUCAUUCAACCCUUUUCUCGUACUCGCCCGGACACUUUUUCGAUACUCGCACGGAUUCCACCUUUUCCCGGUACUCACCCGGAGUCUACCAUUUUUCUGUACUCACACUAAUUGGACCCUUUUCCAGAACUCGUCGGUAUAGUUUUUCGAUACUCGCACGGAUUCUACUAUUUCCCGGUACUCGCCCGGAUUCUUCCAUUUUUCGGUACUCAUAUUGAUUCAACCCUUUUCUCGUACUCGCCGGGACAGUUUUUCGAUACUCGCACGGAUUCUAUCUUUUCCCGGUACUCACCCGGAUUCUACCAUUUUUCGGUAGUCACACUAAUUUGACCUUUUUCCGGUAUUAGUCGGGACACUUUUUCGGUACUCACACUGAUUCGACCAUUUUCUCGUACUCGUCGGGACACUUUUUCGACACUUGCACGGAUUCUACUAUUUCCCGGUACUCGCCCGGAUUCUUCCAUUUUUCGGUACUCACACUCAUUCAACCCUUUUCU